rnacentral:tRNA from 1 species
GGAGCUGUGCCUGAACAAAAGGGUUACUUUGAUAGAGUAAAUCAUGGAGGUUAAAACCCUCCCACCUCCU